rnacentral:rRNA from 1 species
UACAGGGGGUGCAAGCGUUGUUCGGAAUUAUUGGGCGUAAAGCGCGUGUAGGCGGACCACUAAGUCUGGUGUGAAAUCCCUCGGCUCAACUGAGGACGUGCAUUGGAUACUGGUGGUCUUGAGUCCUGGAGAGGGUAGCGGAAUUCCCAGUGUAGAGGUGAAAUUCGUAGAUAUUGGGAGGAACACCGGUGGCGAAGGCGGCUACCUGGACAGUGACUGACGCUGAGACGCGAAAGCAUGGGGAGCGAACAGG